AUGAGAUGUGUACCUAAUGCAUGGCACCCUGUCGUGUUCUACCUUCUCCAAAAAUGAAAAACCCGUCAGUAGAUUCACCCUCUCUCUAACGCAUGGCACAGAGAGACGCAAUGCCUGAUCGAGACGAGAUGAGACUCUCUCUCACCCUCUCUCUAAUGCAGCGAUCUUAGAUCUUCUCUUCUCAUUCUGAGAGGAAACAAGAAUGAGCAUCUGCCGAGUCGACUCAAUGUGCAAGAAAUACGAUAAGUACGACAUCGAGAAGCAGCGCGACCUCAACCCUUACGGCGACGAUGCCUUCCCUCGUCUUUGCGCUCACGUCAACUACAAAAUUCUGACGACGGACCAAAUCUUGAUUGGUGGAGGAAGUUCCUAAGCUGCGAAAUUGGCUCAAAAAACAGGUUUAUCAAAUCAUCUUUUUUUAAUUUUAAAAUUUUCUUUUCUUUUUAUUAAGCUGGAUUUUUAGAAAAUAUAUCUGAUUAGAUAUGACUUGGUGUCUGUGGGUCACCAAUUAGAUAUGAGAAAUUCAAUUGCUUAUCUGAUAGUUUCUUGGUCUUGGAAAAGUGGUGUGGAUUGAGCCUCUAAUGUCUAUCCAUGAUGCACAGGAUGGUGAAAAACAGUAGUGUUUCUUGUAGUACUAGACUAGAAAUAGGGUAACUGUAGAAGAAUCUAGAAGGAAAGGAACUAGACUAGGAAGUCCAAUUGACAUUUCCUCUUUCUUACACAAUUUUAAUUCUGAAAUAAUUGGCAUCUUGUAUUUAAGAUUAGUUGGAGAAGUUUUACACACCUCACAGAAUGUUGAGAUUUGGAAGAUGUCAUACUGAUGUACAUAAACUUUUGGCAUAUAUGUGUAUUUGACCCAUGAUAGAAUAUUAUUUUUAAGGUUCCACCUAAUUGAUUGAAUGGGGAUCGACAAUCCAUGGAUGAAUACAUCAAUAGUUGUACCUACCAUCUGAUUUUUCAUAAGAUUUGAAAACAAACAGUUGCAGGUCAUAUAGUUUAUCUGUCAAGUUUGUGUUGUUGGAUUGCGUUUGUGUGUGUUCUGCGUUGCGCUUAAUAAAAAUUGCUGGGAGCAUUUCUUUCAGUUACUUAUCAGAGCUAGUUGUUUAGUCAUGGAAAAUGGUAUCUAAAGAAAAAGGAAAGAAAGCUUUUGAGAAAGAUGGUUAAUCAUUGAACAAGUCUACUUUUGCUGAAACAUUCCUGGUUUCCUACUUCCUUCUUUAUGUGCAUAGCAUGGAUGCUUUGGUUUGGUGGAUCAUUAGCUUGAAAUUAAUACCUAUAACGAUUACUGCCGUAUUAUAAUUAAUUAGUGAUAAUAGGUUAUAGUCUUCUAAUUGCAUAUACAGCACAACAAACAAGUUCUUUUUAUCAUGGAAAGCUUUUAAGCAUAUCGUGAACAAGAUAAAACAUUGUUGUUUUCUUUUUCUUAAAGUUAGCCAUUUGCUCUGAUAUACGAUCUAGCCUACUUAUCGCUUCUUCAGAAAAUAAGGUUGGAAUAAUUUUGCACUGCAUUUGUCAUUGUACGUUGAGUGUCUAAUUUCUCUUGCAUAUCUUUAAAUAAUUUAAUUCUAACUUAGGUCUCAAUAAAGUUUUCAUUAAUGAUUACCACAAUAUUUGUUGGAGGGAGGACAGGAACAUAAGUUUUGGACUGGGCCCGAGUUAUCCACAGAGUUCACUAUUUGACGCUUGUUGAUCCUCUCUACAUCUCAGUAGAUAGACCUUGGUGGAUUUCGCGUUGCCUGGUGAAUACAGAGCGAAUAGAAAAUUGUCAACUGGUGAUAACUGAUUGUGGAAACGAAAAUACCGAACAACUAGACUUUCCGAUAUCCUGCAGUGUUGGAGAACAGGUUUUCCAGGAAAAUAAAUUGCGCUUAAAUGACUGUGUAUUGGAUGGAUUCAGUAUUUUACCUGAAGAAUCCCAGCAGAAAAAUUAUCUUCAAUGUCAAUUCAAAAGAACCAGAAGGAACUGGUGCCUGCAGAAGGGAAUUAGAAGUAGUGGAGUCCCAGAAUGUGGAUAAUACUGCAUCAGUAUCUGAAAACAACAAAACAGUGGUUGAGAGAUACCCUGGACUGACAGUUAAGAAAUGAAUUUCAGCUUCAUUGUCAAGGCUUUCUUUGAAAUUGGACCGUAUGGAUGAAGUUCAAAUCACAGGUGCAGUGACCUCUCAGAAUUUUAGCUCGACUCAAAAGUAAAAAGUGUGCAGAUAUCAGCUCAAAAGUAAAAAGUUGUGGUGGAAGUGGUUUACAUAGACCACUCUAAACAUAAAAGCUUGGAUGAAGCAAAUAAAGAGGUUGAUGGAGGUGGUGACAUGAUGUAGGAAUCAUUUCCUGGAGAUCCACCAGAGCAGGCUUCAGUCCCAAACUGCGCAUGCUCAACAGCUGUUAAUAAUGUAUAUGAACUAUCUAUCUGGAUGUUCUGAGCUUCAACAUCCAAAUAUUGGUGUCAUACGAGUGUCCCAGGAUAUUAUCCUGGAUCUGGUUUGAAUGGAAC
rnacentral:lncRNA from 1 species